CUGAAUUAACUGAAGAAAUAGCUCGAAUUGAAGUUUCUUGUGAAAAAAUCCCAAUUUCCUUGAAAGAACUCUUUGAGGAAAAUUCUCAGAAUUUGAAUUGUUUAGAGAAAAAAAUCUUUGCUAAUUUUCUGACAGAAUUUAAUGAUGUAUUUUCUGAAAAUGUUGUUGCGGGAAAUUGUAAUGUUGUCAAACAUGUCAUAAAUGUGCAAGACUCUUCUCCCAUUAAACAGGUACCUCGCCGAAUUCCAAUUCAAAUGAGAGGAGAGGUAGAUAAAAUUGAGGAAAUGCGAUCUCGAGGAGUAAUAGAGGAAUCGCAAAGUCCAUGGGUUUCUCCAACAGUUUUAGUAAAAAAGAAGGAUGGCUUAAUUAGAUUUUGUGUGGAUUUUCGGAAGCUCAAUGCGAUAACUAUAAUAUUAAAGAUUCAUAUCCCCUCCCCAGAAUUGACGAUAUUUUGGAUCAAUUCUCAGACGAUAGAAUAACUAUUGUUAGAAAAAGCUUGAUACAAGCCGCUGAAACAAUAGCAUCUGUACCUUUUCAUGGCGAUAAUUCAGAGAAUAUUCGAUCCAUUGUUAAUAAUUCCAAUCAAAAGCAUGCAAAAGAAAAAAAUUAUUACCUGAGGAGGAAGAGAUAUUAAUAUUAGAAGUACAAAACAGAGAACCACUAUGGAAUUUUAAGUUACCUCUUAUUCAAAGAAAUGGCAGAAUC